UGACGGUACUUGACUAAGAAGCUCCGGCUAAAUACGUGCCAGCAGCCGCGGUAAUACGUAUGGAGCAAGCGUUAUCCGGAUUUACUGGGUGUAAAGGGAGCGUAGACGGCAAAGCAAGUCUGAAGUGAAAUCCCGGGGCUCAACCCCGGAACUGCUUUGGAAACUGUUUAGCUAGAGUGCAGGAGAGGUAAGCGGAAUUCCUAGUGUAGCGGUGAAAUGCGUAGAUAUUAGGAGGAACACCAGUGGCGAAGGCGGCUUGCUGGACGACAACUGACGCUGAGGCGCGAAAGCGUGGGGAGCAAACAGGAUUAGAUACCCUG
rnacentral:rRNA from 1 species